GCUGGGUCUAUCUUAUAUGUCUAUGAUUGGUAGGCGUUGUUGCGGGUUAUCCCGGUCAUUUUGUUGCUUAUUGUAAAAGACUUUCAGGAUUAUGGGAGCAAUAUAAUGAUUUAAACAGUACAGUAAAAUCUUGUACACAAAAUGAGACAAUCAAUCUCAUUGCUGCAAUUUAUAUACUUUAUGAAGAUUAAAUAUGAAACAACAAUCGGAGCCUUCUCGAUUUUAACAACAAAGCGGC